rnacentral:rRNA from 1 species
AUUGAACACUGGCGGCAUGCCUUACGCAUGCAAGUCGAACGGCAGCGCGGACUUCGGUCUGGCGGCGAGUGGCGAACGGGUGAGUAAUGUAUCGGAACGUACCAUUCAGUGGGGGAUAACGCAGCGAAAGUUGCGCUAAUACCGCAUAUUCUGUGCGCAGGAAAGCAGGGGAUCGCAAGACCUUGCGGUGAUUGAGCGGCCGAUAUCAGAUUAGCUAGUUGGUGAGGUAAAGGCUCACCAAGGCGACGAUCUGUAGCGGGUCGAAGAGGAUGAUCCGCCACACUGGAACUGAGACACGGUCCAGACUCCUACGGGAGGCAGCGGUGGGGAAUUUUGGACAAGGGGCGCACGCCUGGUCCAGCCAUGCCGCGUGAGUGAAGAAGGCCUUCGGGUUGUAAAGCUCUUUCGGCCGAGAAGAAAUCGUAUGGGUUAAUACCCUGUGCGGAUGACGGUACCGGCAUAAGAAGCACCGGCUAACUACGUGCCAGCCGCCGCCGUAAUAC